UUGAAAACUAUAGAAGAAACAUUGGUUGAUACAGAGAGAACGUAUGUAUUUCUGAUUAUAGAAAUGUUUUAAAAGUACGCAAUACAUACAAAUUUUACACAAACGUACGUGUGAAUACAAAGUACUCGGCUAUGUGUGAGUGACUGCGCUGUGAAGUUGGCCUUCAAAGCUUCCAUUCCGUAGGUUAAUCACACGAUAAUAGCUGAACAGUUAGCAAGUGCGCGAGUGUAGGUACGCGUGCGAACUACUCCGCGCGCCGCGUCCCUCUCGCCAUCACCGCCACAUUUCAGACCGCGCAAAGUGUAAGCAAACAAAAGGUAGACUUCAUUAGUUCAAUUUUUUAAAAAUUCUUGACGGUGGGUAAAUGUUUACGGCAAAUAUGUUUCUCUUACCAUUUGUUACUUUCAAUAUAUUUAUCAAAAUAUUCUUCAAAACUUUUGGUUUAUUUUCAUGAUCAUCAGUCUCGUGAAGUAUGGGCCAAUUAGUCGGUUUCCGACCGAGUAAAAUUAUCAAGUUCGUCAUUGAUAGUCAUGGCUAUCGAGGCUUCUUAUAACGAACAUAUAUGUAUGUAUGUAAACAAAACAAUUGUGUUUUUUAUGAGACCUUAUGAGUGCCAUUUGUCCAAUUCGAAAUCGGUCCUCUUGUAUUAUCAGCACUAAUUUUGCUACUUAUGCGACGACACGUACUUAUGUGUUUGGCAGUUAUGUAAGUAGACAUGUCUGUUCCUCUGCGGCGCUUACGAGUGUUCAUACCUAUUUGUUCACAUACUCGCAUCGCCGCUCUCGUUUAAAUAAUUUAUUUGCGUGGAAAUUCAAUUGAAAUGCGCUCAAUUUGGAAUUGAAAUUUACAUUUAUGCGCCGCUUUGUUGUUGUUGCUGCUGUUCUCGUUUAUCUAGACACAACUCAAUUAGUCGGCGGGCAACGCGUUUCCAUUUUCAUUUAUGGUACUCACACAUUCGUCGAGCGAGCGUUGACUGCAAGCGCGUAACUUAUUCAACAACCGACUGACAACGAAGACAAAACAAUUUAUGCAACUUAUUUUCAACAAUGCAGCAGAUUAAAUAGCGUUCGGAAGUUAUGACGAAACGAAUAGCCAUGACGC
rnacentral:lncRNA from 1 species